AGUCACUGACAUUAGAUACCCCUGUAGUCCAGGGUGUAAACGCUGCGGGCUUGGUGUUGGGGGUCCUUAGUGGGCGCCCAGUGCCGGAGAGAAGUUGUUAAGCCUGCUGCUUGGGGAGUAUGUCCGCAAGGAUGAAACUUAAAGGAAUUGGCGGGGGAGCACAACAACGGGUGGAGCUUGCGGUUUAAUUGGAUUCAACGCCGGAAAUCUUACCGGGACCGACAGCAACAUGAAGGCCAAGCUGAAGACUUUGCCGGAUUAGCUG
rnacentral:rRNA from 1 species